UCAACAUCACUGGGGAAUCAGCUCCAAGCACUGGAAGGCAGCUGGCCAGGUGGAGCAGUUCCCCAGGACUGAGGAAGGGUCCCCAGGACUGAGGAAAGGCUUCUCAUUCAGACUUUGUGAAAUGUUACUUCUUGGCACUUGGUCUGGAACACUUGAGUCCUGUCCUGUGUGUGAUGCUCUCCAUUUUCUGCUCUCAAGAUGAGGAGCUCCGAACAGGAGAUGCCCGGAUGGUUUGUGUUGGAUUUCUGGCAACGUCACAGUCUCAGGGAGAUUCACCCAGCUAUCCCUUCAUCAGCCAUUUCUACAGCAGCGGGAGAGGGGCAAGCAGGAUGCUAAUUCUCACUGUAACACAACCAGGCCCGACACUUCCCUCCCCGCUCUGUGUCUGAUGGUUGAAUCCAGGCACCUUGGAGCUCUGCUGACAUCAUGGAAAAUCUUAGCUGCACAGCCACAGAGCACACACUUGCCAAUUAGCCGGGAAGCCCACAGAGGAGAGAGAUAAGAAAAUUGAGGCUCAGAUUAAGUGAGUCAGAGAAGGCAGACAGAUGUCCAGUGCCUGAUGGAGAGCUGGACCCCAGCUGCGGUCUCAAGUUAAAGGUCAGCGACCCAAAGAGCCGGAACCUACUCACAGCCGGAGACUAGGAGGGCCGCUGUGGGUGGAACUAGGAAUCGACCUUCAUAAACAAUCUCACAUGACACGCCACCUAAGCCACUUGCAAAUGAUGCUGCAGCAGAGAUGGCUGAGCCCCAGCGGCUCCUGUGAGCUGUCUUCCUUGCUUCUCCUGGCGGGCUCCAGAACCCGCCAUGGGACACACAUCUGCCUGGCUCCUGCCUUUCCUACCUUGGCCUUUGCUGGUUUUCCUGGCUGGCCCUUUGGGAUGGAAACCUGAUUUGGGGGGUGGCUGGAAGCUCAGGGGUAAAAGCUCUGUGCUGGGUGAAGGCCCUGCUGGGAUUCCGCUACUUGCCACAGGAAAGGGAAGGCUCCCCCUCUUCUAUGGAAUCCCAGGCUUUCCUUGGUACAGCACCUCCUCUUCCUGCCUGUUCCCAGUUGUUUUCCAGGCUUCUCCAUGACCCUUUUCUCAGGGGUCAGCAUGACCAUGUGAGAGUUUCCAUGGGCAUGGUGUUUCUUCACAGCGAUGGAACACUGCAUCAGGAGACGAUGUUCACUCUCGCAGAGCCUGGAUCUAUCCAGCACUCCAGCAUCUGCCGGUACCCACUGAAGGGAGCUGGGGAUAAAGGUGGACAUCGGACCUUGAGGCUUCAGAGAGCAGACAGAGAUCUCAGAGCAACAGACCUGAAGUCUACUUCCAUGAGAUACCCAGAGGGUGAAGCCGACGAAGCCUGGGCAGUGAUGUGACCAGGUGUCCUGCAGCUUGGAGCUCAGGAUGCAGAUGCCUUUCCUCCCCUGCAGCUGGGUGAAAGCCCGCUCUCCACUCACUCCAUGUGUCCCCUGGCCUGACUUCUAGUUGCUGGAAGGCGAUGCUGUUCUCUUGCCUUUGCUGGUGUCAGAAGCUGCACGUGUCAUGUGGUUGUAUUUUAGCAGCACUUGGGAAUCUGCUGCAGGAUGGAGAACUAGAGGGGACAGGUGCACAGUCGCCAGGACAGAGGCAAAUUAUUGUAUCUGAUCCCUGGGGUGAGGUGGCUAGACAGGAAGAGAAAGAGAUAGGGCUGAUGGAUGGAUGGCCAUGCCCCAGGGAGGAAGGUGCCUCAGGGGAUUGUUCGGACAACAGAGGGCAUUGUGAGUGCUGUCCUGAUGUGAUCAAUAAGUCUGUUUCACCUGGUCAGAUCAGAGUGUGGGCUCUUCUCCAAUAUCCCAAACAAGUCCCAUGCUUCCCGAGUCCUACCCAAUGAAAUCAUGUUUCUUCAAUGUGAUAAUCACCAUUACCUCUACAAUCAUCACCACCAUCACCCCCUAACAUCAUCCAAACACAACCAUCACCAUCACUGUCCUCAUUACCACCACCACAGCCACUAUCAUCACCACCACCACCAUCACCACCAUCACCACCACUGCCACCACCACGACCACUGCCACUACAAUCUUUAUCUCCAUUCUACUGUGAUCUUUAUUUGUCAUUGUUAUCAGCUCAUUACAGACUUCAGCAUCUUCCACUUCAUCAGCAUCACAAUAAUCAUCAUUAUUGUUGAUUUUGACAUCAUCAUCACCACCAUCAUCAUCACCACCAUCAUCAUCACCACCACCACCACCACCACCAUCAUCAUCACCACGUCCUCAUCCAUAGAGAUCUGGAUGAGUCUUAACAUUUUGCUGAAUAUAUUACUUUAUUUCAUUGGGUUUAUUCGUCAUGGCACCCCCAGGAAGAAACCUCCACAAAAAAAUGAUCCCUGAAGCAUUUGGUCCUCACCUCCAAAGACGAGCCAUUCUGAGGAGGGCAUGGGUCCCAGUAAUUCUCAGAUCCCUCCCCAUAGCCUGUUUUCUAAAGAACCACUCAACAAAACAAAAUUCCAGUUUAUUGUUGGACACUGCUUCACACAUCCAUCAACAGACGCCAAACCCAAGAAAACCCCAGCGGCUUCAUAGGCAAAGAAAACAGAAAAUUUUAUCUCUGGCUUUUUAAACCAUCUCAUACAAACUAACCACUUAUAGUACAGCUAGAUUCAUACACAAAAAAGUUCCUGGAACACUCAAAAUAAGAUUUUUUAUAGUUGUUGUUUUUAAUGUUUAAAGAAAUCCCUCUUUUGAGAUUAUAAUUAACAUGGUUAUGUUGUAAGAAAAGUAAGAAAUAGGACAGAGCACACUGUGAAGGCUGGCUCGGUCACUGUCGUCACUAGAGUUGACCUUUAAAGUCCUUUAAAGAGGAAAAGCAGGGUCCUGGCAGUCCGUGCUCUUUUUCUCCCUGUGGCAAAUUCUUGGGAGACUGGGUGAGUUGGCUUCUCUACACCAAGGUGACCGUGUGUAGAUUCGGAGAUGGCAAGCGGAGGGAGUUUAACUUUCCUUCGUGGCUGUCCAGUCAUUCUCACCUGUCUCUUGUUUCUUGGUGUCAACAUCAUCAUCCUCAUCAUCUUCAGCUGCCACCUGACGAUAGCUGCCUCAGUUUCCCUCCUCGUCCUCACCAUCACCCUCCUCCUCCUCUGCCUCGUUGUAAACCUUCUGCUCUCCAUUUUCCUCCUGAGCAUCCCCAUCAGCAAGUACACCUCAUCUUGUCUCUUCUAUUUUCUGUCUCCUCCUCAACUUCCUUCUUCUCCUUCAGGCCCUUGGUGGUGACCUCAGAGCUGGUGUCCAUGCUCCACAUCACAUAAUCGUGACCCAAGGAGAGCCGUGGGGACCAAUGACCACAGGAACAUGGCCAGAAAAGAGUCUCUUACUGAGCCUGAAGCUCAUUGACUGGCUGGACUGCUGGCUACCAAUGAGCCCCAAGGAUCCUCUGUUCUCCACCGUCUAGAGCUGAGGUUAUAGACUUCAUGCCAUGCCUAGGUUUUUAUCUAAGUGCUCAUUCUUGCCAGGCAGCCUCUCUGUUCACUGAGCCAUCUCCCUGGUGUUAUGAGAGUGUCUUUUACGCAGAGGGUGAGGUCCAUCCUAGACUUCCCUGUACCUCACUGAGAUGGACAUCCUAUCUCCCAGGCAGGGGCAUGACUGUGGGGAAUCUCUGGUGUCACCGAAGGUAUUGGGGCGGCAGGGUCUGGAGCCGGGAGUCAGGCAGAGGGUUAGAACUCUGAAGGAGGGGCUACUUUGUGUCUCUCUUCCCUGAGUCUCACACUGACCAAUGGGAGUCCCUUGGCCCACCCCAACCUUUUCCCCCUCAGCCUCCUGUUCUGUAUUGUUUGGCUUUAUAAAAACCUUGAUGCAGGGCUUCCAUUAUGGAAAGUGCUGUUUAUGUCCAGGGCGCCUUGAAAAGGCAGCUGAAGUCUCCCUGGCUGCGGUCCUCUCCACUUGUUGCCCUGGCAACCGGAGGCAGGGAAAACAGGACCUGUCAGAUGGAAAAUGUCAGUUACAGCAGAUCUAGAGAACAGGAAGCAGAGCGGGGAGGGGAGAGGCAGGAGAGCUGGGCUCAGUCUCCCGCCCACCCUGGCUGUGCCCUUGCCCCUGGAGAGGCUGCCCUGGGAAGGAGAGGGCCUGUUCCCAGAGCAGAAGGCUUUCGAGAGGAGAGAGAGGGUGGGGGAAGGAAACACACCUGAGAGUAACAGGACCUGACGGUCGCAUUGUUUUAGAGGUGAUUUGGGCUGGGCAUUAGGAGGGAUCAGGAGCACAUCUUCGAAGCCUGACUAACUGAGGGUUUGCUGCGCAGGGUCUGGGCAGGGGGAGGGGAGGGUUGGGAAGGAUAGACACCAAAUCUUGGCUCUCCAGGCUCUGGACCUGCUCCCUUGCCCUCUGUACCCAUCCCUUUCUCUGCUUCCUACGGAUGGAUUCACUGCCCUGAAGAGGGUCAGGUCACCCUUUAAAGUGGUGAGGAAGGUGCUUCAAAAGAGUCCUGCCUGUGAGCAGUACAGAUCCUCUCAGGACACACGGGUGAGGGAACAAAGGAGGGUCGCUUUAGACGCCUUGAGGGAGGGCGAAGCCAUCAGUUCUGGAAGAAGUGAGACGCAGGUGCAGGGAGGGGGCUCUCUGAGAGAAGGAUGGGCAUGUGUGAGCAUGUGUGAGCACGUGUGAGCAUGUGUGAGCAUGUGUGAGCACGUGUGAGCAUGUGUGAGCACGUGUGAGCACGUGGGAAUGUGUGUGUGUGGGGAAGAAUAUGUGCAUGUGUGCAUGGGUGUGUGGUCUCUCUCUCUCUCUCUCCUCUCUCGUUAUCCUCAGAAAUUCUUCAAGUCCCCCAAGCUCCCAAUUCCCUGAAGGGAUGACAUCUACCCUCAAUUGACCGGGGAGAGUGUGGGACCUAGAGAGGCUGCUGUCUAAGGUCAAAGGGGCCCCCAUCACAUGCUUGGGAUGCCAUCCAGAGGGGCAACAUUUAAAACAAAACAGCAUCCUUGUGUACAUGUGUGUGAGGCUGUGUGGCUCCAAAGAGAAGCCAGAGCUGCAUGCCGAAUGAGGAGAGGUAGGCUCACUACCAGACUGGACUGGGUUAUCCUGAGGGAGACCCAGGUACAAAGGGCUGGCAUCUGAAAGUGGGGAUAGGUGAGGGGAGCCUGCUUCAGGGACUUUUCUUUUCAAAAACUUGAGCACAGUUUAAUCGAUUUAUUGUUUGUGUGUAUGUGUAUGGGCCCGCAGGUGCCUGGGCGUGUGUAGAGGUCAAAGGGCGGUUUGUGGGAGCUGCUUUUUCUCCUCUCACCGUGUGGGCUCACAGAUCAAACUCAGGCCGUCAGGCCUGGCCUCAAGUGCCUUUUGCCCACUGUGCCGGGUUGCCGCCCCAUUAAGGAUUUUUCUCAUUCCAGGGUCUUCUGCUCUGGGCUUUGAGGGUCCUGUUUGUGCUGUGUGGGGUAGGGUACCACCCACGAAGCUGCCUUAGUCACAGCGGCAGCGGUCGGAGGGUCCACAGACGCUGCCUUUCUGGUAGAAGACGGGGAGAGACUCCUCAAGCCCUGUCUGGGUCAAGGUUCAAGGGCAUCUCGUACCUCCUGGCUUCCAGAAGAAUCUCGUAAACAAACUUCUGGGGCUGUCGAUGUGGCUCAGUUGGUGGAGCACUUGCCUCACAUCCCCGAAGCCCUGGGUGUGAUCCCCAGCACUGUGCCUGAUCGCCCCACACCUGUCGCCUGACGCUCAGAGGAGGAAGAAGCCAAAGGAUCAUCAGUCUAAAGUCAGUCUCGGCUAUGUAGGGAGUUGAGGAUAGCCUGGGCUACAUGAGACCCUACUUAAAAAAAAAAAAAAAAGCCGGGCGGUGGUGGCGCACGCCUUUAAUCCCAGCACUCAGGAGGCAGAGCCAGGCGGAUCUCUGUGAGUUCGAGGCCAGCCUGGGCUACCAAGUGAGUCCCAGGAAAGGCGCAAAGCUACACAGAGAAACCCUGUCUCGAAAAACCAAAAAAAAAAAAAAAAAAAAAAAAAAGCAGGGGCUAGAUAGUGGCUCAGUGGUAGAGCACUGGAUGCUCUUGUAGAGGACUGGAGUUUAAUUCCCAGGACCCACACGGAAGCUUACAACCCCCUGUAACUCCAGUUGUAGGGGAUCCAAUGUCCUAGUCUCUGAGGGCACCAUGAACACUCGUGGUGCAUAGACACAUGUACAGGCAAAAUAUCCACAUACAUGAAAUAAUAAAAAAGAAGGCAGCUUCACACUCA